rnacentral:rRNA from 1 species
UACGUAGGGUGCGAGCGUUGUCCGGAAUUACUGGGCGUAAAGAGCUCGUAGGUGGUUUGUCGCGUUGUUCGUGAAAACCGGGGGCUUAACCCUCGGCGUGCGGGCGAUACGGGCAGACUGGAGUACUGCAGGGGAGACUGGAAUUCCUGGUGUAGCGGUGGAAUGCGCAGAUAUCAGGAGGAACACCGGUGGCGAAGGCUGGUCUCUGGGCAGUAACUGACGCUGAGUAGCGAAAGCGUGGGGAGCGAACAGG